AUUGAACGCUGGCGGCAUGCUUUACACAUGCAAGUCGAACGGUAACAGGCCGCAAGGUGCUGACGAGUGGCGAACGGGUGAGUAAUGCAUCGGAACGUGCCCAGUCGUGGGGGAUAACUACUCGAAAGAGUAGCUAAUACCGCAUACGAUCUAUGGAUGAAAGCGGGGGACCGUAAGGCCUCGCGCGAUUGGAGCGGCCGAUGUCAGAUUAGGUAGUUGGUGGGGUAAGGCUCACCAAGCCAACGAUCUGUAGCUGGUCUGAGAGGACAACCAGCCACACUGGGACUGAGACACGGCCCAGACUCCUACGGGAGGCAGCAGUGGGGAAUUUUGGACAAUGGGCGCAAGCCUGAUCCAGCAAUGCCGCGUGCAGGAAGAAGGCCUUCGGGUUGUAAACUGCUUUUGUACGGAACGAAACGGCUCUGGUUAAUACCCGGGGCUAAUGACGGUACCGUAAGAAUAAGCACCGGCUAACUACGUG
rnacentral:rRNA from 1 species